rnacentral:rRNA from 1 species
AGAAUCAACGCUGGCGGCGUGCCUAACACAUGCAAGUCGAACGAGAAAGGGUAGCAAUACCUGAGUACAGUGGCGCACGGGUGAGUAACACGUGACUAACCUACCCUGGAGUGGGGAAUAACUGAGGGAACCUUAGCUAAUACCGCAUAAUACCUACGGGUCAAAGGAGCAAUUCGCUUCAGGAGGGGUCGCGGCCGAUUAGUUAGUUGGCGGGGUAAUGGCCCACCAAGACAGUGAUCGGUA